GUUAUUUCCUUCUUUAGUUUCUAUAGUGUAAUAGUUGAAAGAAACUUUUUAAGAUGGGAGAGCUGCGAACAAAACAGGUUUGAACCAUGUGGGAUUCCAUUUCAACCAAAUGCAGCAUUCCCCGGAUGUAAAACCCAUGUAUAUGGAGGGCCAGCUUUUUUUACACUCGGGUUCCACAGGAUCAACAGUGGGACUUGAGUAUGCAUGGAUUUUGAUAUAUGCAGCAGGUUCUAGAACCAAGCCUUCAUGUUUACUGAGGGAGGGAUGACUACCUUUUGUCAUGAACUGUAAAGCAUUUAAACUUUUACCCUUCUUGUAAGCUAAUAAAUUAAUCUGCUGGUUUCAUGGAUGCUGGCAGAAGUCACAAAAAUCCUAGUUAGGAGACAAAGUACUUUAUUGCUUAUAGCACAGAA
rnacentral:lncRNA from 1 species